AUUGAACGCUGGCGGCAGGCCUAACACAUGCAAGUCGAGCGAGCGGCGGACGGGUGAGUAAGGUAUGGGGAUCUGACCGAGAGAUGGGGAUAACUACUGGAAGCGAUGGCUACUACCGCAGACUAGCGGAUAGAUCAAUAUGGGAUUAGCUAGUAGGUGGGGUAAAGGCGCACCUCGGCGACGAUCUCUAGCGGGUCUGAGAGGAUGAUCAGCCACACUGGGACGGAGACACGGCCCAGACUCCUACGGGAGGCAGCAGUGGGGAAUAUUGGACAAUGGGCGCAAGCCUGAUGCAGCCAUGCCGCGUGUAUGAAGAAGGCCUUAGGGUUGUAAAGUACUUUCAGCUGGGAGGCGUUACCAGCAGAAGAAGCACCGGCUAACUCCGUGCCAGCAGCCGCGGUAAUUC
rnacentral:rRNA from 1 species